rnacentral:rRNA from 1 species
GAUGAACGCUGGCGGCGUGCCUAAUACAUGCAAGUCGAGCGAACGGACGAGAAGCUUGCUUCUCUGAUGUUAGCGGCGGACGGGUGAGUAACACGUGGAUAACCUACCUAUAAGACUGGGAUAACUGCGGGAAACCGGAGCUAAUACCGGAUAAUAUUUUGAACCGCAUUGUUCAAAAGUGAAAGACGGUCUUGCUGUCACUUAUAGAUGGAUCCGCGCUGCAUUAGCUAGUUGGUAAGGUAACGGCUUACCAAGGCAACGAUGCAUAGCCGACCUGAGAGGGUGAUCGGCCAAACUGGAACUGAGACACGGUCCAGACUCCUACGGGAGGCAGCAGUAGGGAAUCUUCCGCAAUGGGCGAAAGCCUGACGGAGCAACGCCGCGUGAGUGAUGAAGGUCUUCGGAUCGUAAAACUCUGUUAUUAGGGAAGAACAUAUGUGUAAGUAACUGUGCACAUCUUGACGGUACCUAAUCAGAAAGCCACGGCUAACUACGUG